rnacentral:misc_RNA from 1 species
CAACCAUCAAGCCCCCCGGGCUUGUGUUGGGGCCCUGCGGCUGCCGCAGGCCCCGAAAAGCAGUGGCGGGCUCGCUAGUCACACCGAGCGUAGUAGACUCACAAUCUCGCUCAGGGCGUGCGGCGGGUUGCUUGCCGUAAAACAACCCAAACCAUUUCAA